GACGAACGCUGGCGGCGUGCUUAACACAUGCAAGUCGAACGGAAAGGCCCUGCUUUUGUGGGGUGCUCGAGUGGCGAACGGGUGAGUAACACGUGAGUAACCUGCCCUUGACUUUGGGAUAACUUCAGGAAACUGGGGCUAAUACCGGCUAGGAGCUCCUGCUGCAUGGUGGGGGUUGGACAGUUCCGGCGGUUGGGGGUGGACUCGCGGCUUAUCAGCUUGUUGGUGGGGUAGUGGCUUACCAAGGCGUUGACGAGUAGCCGGCCUGAGAGGGUGACCGGCCACAGUGGGACUGGGAUACGGCCCAGACGCCUACGGGAGGCAGCAGUGGGGAAUAUUGCACAAUGGGCGGAAGCCUGAUGCAGCAACGCCGCGUGCGGGAUGACGGCCUUCGGGUUGUAAACCGCUUUCGCCUGUGACGAAGCGUGAGUGACGGUAAUGGGUAAAGAAGCACCGGCUAACUACGU
rnacentral:rRNA from 1 species